rnacentral:rRNA from 1 species
AAUCUGGGGCCAUCGGCCUCCGAGUUGUAAUUUGGAGGGGCCCCUUCGGUGGGGAGCGCCGGCCCAUGUUCCUUGGAACAGGACGUCACAGAGGGUGAGAAUCCCGUGCCCGGCCGGCCGACUCCUCCCGUGUGAAGGACCUUCGAAGAGUCGAGUUGUUUGGGAAUGCAGCUCCAAGCGGGUGGUAAAUUUCAUCUAAAGCUAAAUACCGGCGGGAGACCGAUAGCGCACAAGUAGAGUGAUCGAAAGAUGAAAAGCACUUUGAAAAUAGAGUCAAAAAGUACGUGAAAUUGUUGAAAGGGAAGCGCUUGAGACCAGACUCAGACCCGAGCAAACACCGUGCCCCUCGGGGCCGUGCAAUUGCCCGGGGCUGGGCCAGCAUCAGUCGGCGUGGCGGGACAAAGGCGCGGGCAAUGUGGCUCCCCUCGGGGAGCGUUAUUAGGCCCGAGCUCAAUGCCGCCGACGUCGACUGAGGACCGCGCCCCGGCUAGGAUGCUGGCUUAAUGGCCUUCAGCGACCCGUCUUGAAACACGGA